rnacentral:rRNA from 1 species
AUUGAACGCUGGCGGCAGGCUUAACACAUGCAAGUCGAGCGGGCGAGGUUGCUUCGGUAACUGAGCUAGCGGCGGACGGGUGAGGAAAGCUUAGGAAUCUGCCUAUUAGUGGGGGACAACAUUCCGAAAGGGAUGCUAAUACCGCAUACGUCCUACGGGAGAAAGCAGGGGAUCACUUGUGACCUUGCGCUAAUAGAUGAGCCUAAGUCGGAUUAGCUAGUUGGUGGGGUAAAGGCCUACCAAGGCGACGAUCUGUAGCGGGUCUGAGAGGAUGAUCGGCCACACUGGGACUGAGACACGGCCCAGACUCCUACGGGAGGCAGCAGUGGGGAAUAUUGGACAAUGGGGGGAACCCUGAUCCAGCCAUGCCGCGUGUGUGAAGAAGGCCUUUUGGUUGUAAAGCACUUUAAGCGAGGAGGAGGCUUACCUGGUUAAUACCUGGGCUAAGUGGACGUUACUCGCAGAAUAAGCACCGGCUAACUCUGUGCCAGCCGCCGCGGUAAGAC